CAAUGGGUCAUCCCUUGUCUUCAGGCUAUUGAAUUGGUCAACACAACACUAAAUAUGAUUUAUAUUUGGAUUCAUUCUCUCUAUCUCUCUAUCAGUCAAAGAAACCCCAACUAUGGAAUUCCUACCACCACCACAUUGGCUCUGUCUCCUUUCGCCUUCUACCACAACUCUUUAUCGCCUCCACGACCUUCACCACUGUAGAUUGGAUCUAGAAACCCUUUCUCACCACUAAUCACCGUCGUCAGAACUAUUUCCCCUCCACCUUCCUUUCCCUUACUAACGACAUUCACCACCACUGUUUGAGAAUGUAUGUUGAUCCGAUUUAUCAUCUUUAUUUUUGGUCAUGGAUAUGGAUCCACUGCACCAUCUUCGCACCACCGAAGUCUCUCUCUCUCUCUCUCUCUCUCUCUCUCUCUCUCUCUCUCUCUCUCUCUCUCUCUCUCUCUCUCUAACUUUAGACGUGUUUGUGUGUUUCAAUGUGUUUUAUGUGUACAUGUGUUUCUUUAUAUUUUUUUUUGGCUAUUGUGAUUUGAGGUUAAGAGGACACUAAGGAAAGAAAAGAAAGCCUGGGUACUAAACCUAAAGGUAUUUUUUUGUUGUAUUGAUUGGCGUUAAGGAGUAUUCCAUAAAUUUGGUCCACGAUCUUCCUGUUUUCGACUGCACACCAAAUCCACCCGCAAUCCUUUUUUUUUUUCUCUCCAUAAAACCCCUAAACGAAUUUCCACAUCAUCAAGGUUUGUCUUUCUAUCCUUCGAUAAGAUUGAUGUUGGUUUAACGGUGUGUGUUGGGGUGUGUUUGUAUGUUGAUUUGUCGAUCUGGUUUUAUUUACUAACCCUGUAAAUGGUUUUUUUGUGAUCUUUUUUCAUUUGUUGCAGCUUUGGAUGUUGAACAUAUGUCUAUUUGAAUGCAAUUUGAGUUAUCAGUUUUCAAACGUUUUAUCAAACCGAUAAAGGGUCUUUUGUUUGUUCAUAAUUAAAUAUCAAUUCUUUUUGUUCAUCUUUAUGUCUGGAAUGAAGAUUUGUAGCUACAAGCUAACAUGGGAUUUAUUGGUUGCAGGAAAAGAAAGCGAUGAUGAAGAGAGGAACUGAUGGCAUGAAUUUUUGAUAACUGUUAGACAAUAGAAGCACCUGGACUUGCUAUUUGCUGUUGAAUGAGAUAAUGGAUAAAAGAGAUGGAAUGAUGUUCAGUUUGAAGUUGAUGUACUGUGAAAUUAGAAGACUUAUGAAGGAUUUGAAGAAUGUUGAAGGGUUAAAGACUGGCUAUGGUAAGGAUUUAAUGUGGCUUGAAGGAUUUUGGAGUUGUGUUUGGAAAUAGAUAAGUUGGAUGUACACUGACACUUUGUUUGUGUUGGCUAGGUGUUUUAUUAAAAUCAUUUCAUUGUUCUUGGCCGGAUAGUAAAUAUAUAUGAGGCGUUAGUUGUUCAAA